rnacentral:SRP_RNA from 1 species
GACUAAGGCACCUUACGACGCAGUGCUUAUGAACCAUGUCAGGUCCGGAAGGAAGCAGCAUUAAGUAUGUUUAUUGUGGGUGUGAGUUUUUGUCAAGGUUGAGU